rnacentral:rRNA from 9 species
ACUCUAGUCUGGCAUUGUAAGGACACACGAGAGGUGUAUCAUAAGUGGAAGAUCGUUUCGCGCGAUCGUCGCUGAAAAACACUACUUUCAUUGUUUCAUUACUUACACGGUUGGGCGGAAGCGGUGCGCGGUCGAUAAUAUCGGCGGGCGCACGGUGUUUCGCUCCAAGCGUGCAGAGUGGUGACGUGGUGGAAACGCUCGUCGCCGUUUAAAACUCCCGCGUGAUCCGGUUCGAGGACACUGCCAGGCGGGGAGUUUGACUGGGGCUGUACAUCUGUCAAAGAAUAACGCAGGUGUCCUAAGGCCAGCUGAGCGAGGACCGAAAACUCGCGUGGAGCAAAAGGGCAAAAGCUGGCUUGAUCCAGAUAUUCAGUACGCAUAAACACGGCCAAUCGAUCCUUUAGUAUAAAGAAUUUUUAGCAAAAC